rnacentral:lncRNA from 1 species
CGGUCGAGGGGCUAGGUGUCUUGACCCUAAGGGCUGGAGUCCGCCGAGAAGGGGCUGACUGGGGCACAGGGUCGGCUGAUAAACAGCGUGGUCCGUUCUUCCUCCUGGACUACGGGAAAGUCUGGCUUCACCUGUGCACAACAGAUUUUUAUUGUUAGGUAUAUUGACCAAAGUUUAACGAGAAGAACUGUGAUCAGCUGGGAGGAUUGCUGCAAGGAAUGGAAUUAGCUCAUAGCUUACUGCUGAAUGAAGAAGCAUACAAUCAACUAGGUGAAGUUCAGAAGGCAGAGUUUAUUUUUGAGUGGUUGAGAUACUUGGAGAAGCUCUUGUUGGCAACCAGCAGGAAUGAUGUAAGGGAGAAACAGAAGACUCUUGUUGAACAGCUCCUGUCUUUGUUGAACAGCUCCCCAGGGCCUCCUACCCGCAAACUGCUUGCUAAGAAUCUAGCCAUACUUUAUAGUAUUGGAGACACAUUCUCCG